rnacentral:rRNA from 1 species
CCUACGGGAGGCAGCAGUGGGGAAUAUUGCACAAUGGGCGCAAGCCUGAUGCAGCCAUGCCGCGUGUGUGAAGAAGGCCUUCGGGUUUAAAGCACUUUCAGCGGGGAGGAAGGCGGUGAGGUUCAUAACCUCAUCGAUUGACGUUACCCGCAGAAGAAGCACCGGCUAACUCCGUGCCAGCAGCCGCGGUAAUACGGAGGGUGCAAGCGUUAAUCGGAAUUACUGGGCGUAAAGCGCACGCAGGCGGUCUGUCAAGUCGGAUGUGAAAUCCCCGGGCUCAACCUGGGAACUGCAUUCGAAACUGGCAGGCUAGAGUCUUGUAGAGGGGGGUAGAAUUCCAGGUGUAGCGGUGAAAUGCGUAGAGAUCUGGAGGAAUACCGGUGGCGAAGGCGGCCCCCUGGACAAAGACUGACGCUCAGGUGCGAAAGCGUGGGGAGCAAACAGGAUUAGAUACCCUAGUAGUC